CGUUAUUCGGAAUUAUUGGGCGUAAAGCGUCUGUAGGUGGUAAGGAAAGUGUAAUGUUAAAGAUCAGGGCUCAACCCUGGGAAAGCAUUGCAAACUAUCUUACUUGAGUUCGGUAGGGGCAGAGAGAAUUCCCAGUGUAGCGGUGAAAUGCGUAGAUAUUGGGAGGAAGACCGGUGGCGAAGGCGUUCUGCUGGGCCGUAACUGACACUCAGAGACGAAAGCUAAGGUAGCAAAUAGGAUUAGAUACCCUAGUAGUCUUAGCUGUAAACGAUGCACACUAUGUUUUGCAAUUUGCAGAGCAAUAGCUAACGCGUUAAGUGUGCCGCCUGGGGAGUACAUUCGCAAGGAUGAAACUCAAAGGAAUUGACGGGGACCCGCACAAGCGGUGGAGCAUGUGGUUUAAUUCGAUGCAACGCGAAGAACCUUACCAAGAAUUGACAUGCUGCGAACGUUUACGAAAGUAAAAAGUCUAUUAACUUAGUUAAUAGCGCAGACACAGGUGGUGCAUGGUUGUCGUCAGCUCGUGCCGUGAGGUGUUAGGUUAAGUCCUGCAACGAGCGCAACCCUUGUCUUUAGUUAUAUUCUAGAGAGACUGCCGGUGAUAAACCGGAGGAAGGUGAGGAUGACGUCAAAUCAGCAUGCCCCUUACAUCUUGGGCGACUCACGUGCUACAAUGGUCGGGACAAAGAGAUGCUACCCUGCGAAGGCAAGCUAACCUCA
rnacentral:rRNA from 1 species